UUUGUUCUAGAACACACACGCCUGAAAGCGCUAGUUAUAGCAACAGGAUUGUAAACAUUUUGUUAAACAAUUGACCACCUAAAACAUCUCCUAGCUGCCUUGGGGGUGAGCCCACCCAUUGGAUGAGACACUGCAUGACGAGACACUGCGCAGUGACAGCAGCAGGAGUGCCUGUUGAGAUGAGGACUCCCAGCAGGAAGGCUAAGCUGUAUUAGCCCAUUUGAAACAAGAUUCCUGUGACAGAAAAUAAAAAGAAGCAAUCAAUAAUGUGCAAGGAUGAGUCUUCCACUAGCAGCCUUUGGAUGAAGACAUAGAACUCUCAGCUCUGCCUGUGCCAUGACAGCCUGGAUGCUGCCAUGCUCCCACCUUGANNNNNNAUGGACAAACAGAUGGACUAUGGCUACAGCUACAUGGAAUGUCAAGGUAGAGGGGUGAGACUGUGAGCAAUGAUUAUGAAGAGACCAGCAUCACUAAGGUGAAAUCUUCUAGGAAGUGUUUUCUGGGAGCACAAAGAAGUUGUGUUCCAGAGAUAGUCAAGGUUGUACCUCGUGCUGCAGCUGGACUUGGUAAUGUGUAAUCACCCCAGGUGGUACUGGUUUUGAAUUCAUGAAGG
ensembl:antisense 4930430E12Rik RIKEN cDNA 4930430E12 gene